UAGCCGUAAACGAUACUCGCUAGGUGUCGGCCACGGUGCGACCGUUGUCGGUGCCGUAGGGAAGCCGUGAAGCGAGCCACCUGGGAAGUACGGCCGCAAGGCUGAAACUUAAAGGAAUUGGCGGGGGAGCACCACAACGGGUGGAGCUUGCGGUUUAAUUGGAUUCAACGCCGGAAAUCUUACCGGGACCGACAGCAACAUGAAGGCCAAGCUGAAGACUUUGCCGGAUUAGCUGAGAGGAGGUGCAUGGCGUAGUCGUG
rnacentral:rRNA from 1 species